UGAUCUCGGGAUUUUUUCUUCACUAAUAUUGAAACGAAUGUAUUUUUACAUGCAUACUUCCAAUUCACAAACUUAGAUGCUCCCUUCAUGAUUCCAAGAACCUAAUUUCCCGGUUUGACUCACCUAAUCGCCUAAGAAAACCUUUCUUACGAUCUAGCCCUAGCCAAGAAACGUUCUAAACUCAAGACCUCUAAGUCUUGGUGAAGACUGAUGGAGUCUCUUUGGUGGUACGAUACCAAGAGACGAUUUCCCUUAUUACAACACUAAAAAC
rnacentral:lncRNA from 1 species